CCUUUAAGACAUUUUCUUGCGUAAUUCGUUGUAGUUUUGUCUUGACGACUCCGUUAUCUGUUUUGAGCUUCUUGAUUACUUGUCUUAAUUCCAUCACUUCAUCAUAAUAAUCUUCUUGAGAUUUAUAUGCAGGCUUGCCACUUGCCAAUAUGUGUUCAUCUGUAGAGUGAGCAUGAAAAUAUCAAUGUGAGAGGUGGAUCGUUAGAUAUCCUGGAAGGAGAGGGGCAGAUAAAUCAUGCAGAGUGGACUUAGACUUAAUAUUUUUUUUAUUUUCUGUAAUUUUUCAUGUAAGUAAUAUUAACUAUAGUAGUAGAGGUAGGCAGAUUCAAUUGGGGCUAUGCACUGUCUGCCCACCUAUCGUCCUAUCAUCUGUAAUUCAGUGAUAGAAUCAUUAAAACAUAUCCCGAAGUGGGAUACUAGAUUCUCAUGGGGGAUACUAAAACUAUGAACCCUGGUAUCCCAGUUGAAAUCUGAAAUCACAC